rnacentral:rRNA from 1 species
GAUCCUGGCUCAGGAUGAACGCUGGCGGCGUGCUUAACACAUGCAAGUCGAGCGAAGCACUUAAGUUCGAUUCUUCGGAUGAAGACUUUUGUGACUGAGCGGCGGACGGGUGAGUAACGCGUGGGUAACCUGCCUCAUACAGGGGGAUAACAGUUAGAAAUGGCUGCUAAUACCGCAUAAGACCACAGUACUGCAUGGUACAGUGGUAAAAACUCCGGUGGUAUUAGAUGGACCCGCGU